rnacentral:lncRNA from 1 species
UCAACAACAACAACAACAAACCCAGUGUAUUCCCACUUUGUGGGGUCUGGGGGGGGUAAGAUGUACGCAGUCCAUACCUCUACCUCUGAUGAAGUAGAAAGGCUGUUUCCGAAAGACCCCCGGCUCAAGUUACGAGAUAUCAAACAAACACAUAGUACAGCACAGAAGCAGAUGACAUAACAUAGAUACUGCAGCCAUAAGGAAUAUAAAACAGAGGAAAGCACACAGAUUCGUAACAAACAUAGAACACGGAACACGGAACAGAACAUUGAAUACGGAAUCAUACCAGGAAUACACCCCCACC